rnacentral:lncRNA from 1 species
AAUUUCAAACCUAAUACAACUACCUCUCCAAAACGGCCGGUCGUGAAAAUUGUAUUCUUCACUUCAAAAACCCAACCAAAAGUCGACAGAUUCAUCUCCACCUCCGGCGGCCCCUCAACACCCGUCGUCGACAGGUUGUCUUUCGCCAAAUGAGUGCAUCUCCAAAGCCGACGUUGAGUAUCGUCGAUUAAGCCGAAUUUGCCAUCACCACUGUGUUCUUCAUCAUAGGUUGCAGGCAAUUGAAUCGGGCCCCUUUUGCAAUCCCCAAGCACUUGCCCAUUCCGUCAAAGCAGCGAACAGGUCAACCAUCUCCUCCUCAACUCCAUCUGCCGCUAAAUGAGCUUGUUGACCAAAAAAAACAACCACCACAGCUAUUCCCAUUCAGGUAAGAGUUUAACUUCAUCUUCAUGCUGUCAUUUUAGCGCUUUUUCUGGAAAAUGAAAUAUUUUUUUGUUGUUGCCCUGCAUCCCUGCAUCUACCCGUUUAUUAUCUUGAAGAAGGUUGGGCCAAUUCUUAUUUUGCAAUAGUACGUUCUUCAUAAUGUAUACAUUAUUUAUGUAAUUCAGAUUUUCCAUUUAGUUAGUGCGUCAACAUGAAAACCGAUUAAUUGUUCGUUGUUGAUUUGCAUACUAGAAUGCCAGGGAAGAAUUCAGGUGUCUGCCAUAGUUGUAGAGGCAAGGGACACUUCUUUGCCGAAUGCCCGAUCAAAGUGCGAUGUCCAUUGUGUAAGCAUGGAUAUCAGAAAAUGGGCAAAUCACAGACACAAAGAUUGAGCUUACCUCACUCACCAAUAAGUCACGGCUUCGAGGCUUUUUGGCCUUUCGAACUACUGCCAGGGGUUUACAUCAUGUGGGAGAGAGUUGGAAGUUGAGAAUAUGUUCCGGCAACGGUUCCAAUUUCUAGAUUUCUCGCUUCGACAGAAUCGGUGCAAUGAUGGCUGUGAUAAUUCAGAAAUCGUCAAUUGUUGUUGGAGGUGGAAAAGAUAGAUGGUUAGACGGCAGUGGAGCAGGUAGCAGUCGUCGGAAGAGUGAGCCUGCGUUUUGCUAUUUUGGGCGAAAGGGAAUAGUGAGCUUGCUGUUUUGUUAUUUUUUUGGGAGGAAUGAAAUGCAUUUACUCGGAGUCAGACUCAUUUACUCCACAAUCGUUUUUCUUAUUUUUUUAUUGGCAACACGUCACAUUUUUAAAUUACCCUAUAAAACCCCUGACAUAUCAUUCGGUACACCAAUCUUAAUUCUUCUUUAUAUGGUUCUAGAUGGCAUACCUAGCAAAUCCUUUGUACUUGGAAACUCCUCUUAAAAAACCACUACUCUUUCUACAAUAAAAAUUCAAAGUUUUGGUUAUAUAUCAUAUCCAUGUGACAAACCAAAAAUCCUUAUUACAUCAAACAAAAUAGAGAAAAUCAUACCUCCUCCGUGACGCUAGGUACUCUUAUUUCGUGAUAGUCUGCAUAUGUUCAAGUUCUUUCUCGUAAUCAGAGAUCUGAAGAACAGGAAAUUGAUAAUAACUUGUCCGAGCCUUACAUGACACGGAUUAAACUUUAAUCCCUACUUUCAAGAACAAACAUAAUCUGAAAACACAAAGUAGGCAAAGAUUUAUAGUGGUUUGUCCUUAAUGUGAGAGCUAUAUUUACUUGCCUUUGCACGUUUUUAUAGUAAUGAACACAAAAAAAUGGCCCCUAAGUAAAUCCUUUAUACUGUAAGAAGUUAGGUUGAUCCAUGGAAGAAUAAAUUUAUAUUAGGCUUAACACAUUCCACACCAUAAUAUAUUUGCAUGCACACAGUCUGAUGUAGACAUAUGGCGGACAAUCCUACCGAAAAAUUUGUAAAGGUCGAUGUCCCCCAAUACUUCAGUGCAGCUAAAUCAUAUGCUCUUGUUGUAUCUUCCUCAUCAUUAUAAGCCCCUAAAGAAUUUUGAUAAUGAAAAUUACCUCAAAUCUAUGUUUUAAAAAGGUGUUUUUGUGUGUUUGUUGGGGGAUUGGCGUGGGGUAGGGUGGGAUAGGGUACUCACCAACAUACAUUGUUAAAAAUUGGGGGGGCGAGGUGGGGUACACACCAAGAUACACUGCUAAAUAUGAAUUUUUGCAUCCAAGAACAGUCCGUGAAACAAAAAAUGAAGAUUUUCUUUAUUAGACGCUAGUAUUCAAGCAAAACUCCCUUCUCUUAUAAAAGAGAGAAUACCAAGUACUGUUCAUUCAUGAGUUUUACCUCACAGAUUACUAUUCACUUUCUAUUUUAGCCUUUAAUGCUGUGUUACUAAUUCUCUAGCUGAGGGCUUAAUGGUCUUUGCUCGUAUGGAAAAAUAUCUCUUUUGGAAACGAUAUUAUAUUCUUUCUGGGAAAGCCCAUUGUGCUCCAGAAUAUUUCUGCUUUCUCUAUCAACGAUAGAAAAAAGGAGACAAAACCCUCUGCAACCUCUUGCGAUUUGAAGUGGUGUUUGUAUAUGUUGCUUCGAUUUGCUCAUUUGUAGCGACCUUCAUAAAUCUUGCUGUCAUCUACUGGAUAUUGUAAUAUUUAUAUUCUCUAACUAUUUGGUAUGUCGACUUCAAGUUUUCCUUUAGCUUAUAGUUGGUUCUUUUAAAAAAAAAAAAAAAAACUUUUGUGCUUGUCGAUUUGUCAUUAUUUGAGCUACAAAUCUUCCAUAUUUUGUGUUGAUUUCUCAUUAUUUGAUGUUUAAAUCUUCCGUAUUUUGAAUCAAGUUUUUUUUUCUGUUCUUUAAAUAUUUGUCGACUUCUGAUGUUUUUAGUUUCAAACUUCUAUAUAUAAUUUUCGAACUGAUUUUUCCUUCCCCUAUUUCAGUGUGUGUAUAUAUAUAUGUAUAUAUAUAUAUUCUACAUAUUUUGGAGGCGAAGAACGAGGCGAAGCAUGAAGAUAAAGGUGGAUUAUGCAAAUUUAUUGAAGAAUAUUCAUCCAUUUUCAAAAUUCAAGCCAAGAAAUUGGAUUUCUC